CUUUGUGAUUGGCUCAUGGUCCUGUCAAUCUCGAUCUGAACUGUGUUGCUAGGUGAAGAUUCCAACUUCCUGGGCAGAGGGUCAUGUAGUGGAAUAGAGCUGUACCUGGCUUCAGGCGAGACUUGGAGCUCAAAACUUUCAGUAGGACAGCCAGGCGCGGUGGCUGAUGCCUGUAAUCCCAGCACUUUGGGAGGCCGAGGUGGGCGGAUCACGAGCAACUCCAAAAUGGAAGUACUAUUGUUAUCUCCGUUUACAAAUUAGGAAACUGAGGCACAGAUAUGCUCUUGGGUACUUGUCAGCAGCAGUUGUUCUACAAAUGAGCGUCUUAGCCUCUGGAUUACUGCUCAAUGAGGAAAGCUAUGAAAUGCAUGGAUAACUUGCUAAUCAGUAUUUGCCAUAUGUGCUAGCAGCAUCAGCAUCAGUUGGGAGAUUAUGGUGGCCUCCAUGUCAGACCUCCUAAAUCGGAAUAUCAGAGAAGGUGGCCCAGGUUACCAUGCUUCAUCUGCCAAUGCAUUGAAAACUUGGAAUGUAAAUUAAUUCAACCAUUGUGGAAGAUGGUGUAGUGAUUCCUCAAAGACCUAGAAGCAGAAAUAUCAUUUGAUCCAGAAAUCCCAUUACUGUGUAUACACCCAAAGGAAUAUAAACCAUUCUAUUACAAAGAUACA
rnacentral:lncRNA from 1 species